UACGGGGGGGGCAAGCGUUGUUCGGAAUUACUGGGCGUAAAGGGUUUGUAGGUGGCUUGCUAAGUCAGACGUGAAAUCCCUCAGCUUAACUGAGGAACUGCGUCUGAGACUGGCAAACUUGAGUGCAGGAGAGGAACGCGGAAUUCCAGGUGUAGCGGUGAAAUGCGUAGAUAUCUGGAGGAACACCGGUGGCGAAGGCGGCGUUCUGGACUGCAACUGACACUGAAAAACGAAAGCCAGGGGAGCAAACGGG
rnacentral:rRNA from 1 species